rnacentral:rRNA from 1 species
GACGAACGCUGGCGGCGUGCCUAAUACAUGCAAGUCGAACGGACAGGCCCUGAUCUUGCGGGGUGCUCGAGUGGCGAACGGGUGAGUAACACGCGAGUAACCUGUCCCUGACUUUGGGAUAAAUCUAGGAAACAGGGGCUCUUAUCGGAUAGGAGCUCCUGCUGCACGGUGGGGGUUGGUAAGUUUCGGCGGUUGGGGAUGGACUCGCUGCUUAUCCGCCUGUUGGUGGGGUAGUGGCUUACCAAGGCUUUGACGGGUAGCCGGCCUGAGAGGGUGACCGGCCACAUUGGGACUGAGAUACGGCCCAGACUCCUACGUGAGGCAGCAGUGGGGAAUAUUGCACAGUGGGCGGAAGCCUGAUGCAGCAACGCCGCGUGCGGGAUGACGGCCUUCGGGUUGUAAACCGCUUUCGCCUGUGACGAAGCGUGAGUGACGGUAAUGAGUAAAGAAGCACCGGCUAACUACGUG